GACGAACGCUGGCGGCGUGCCUAAUACAUGCAAGUAGAACGCUGAAGCUUGGUGCUUGCCCCGAGCGGAUGAGUUGCGAACGGGUGAGUAACGCGUAGGUAACCUGCCUGGUAGCGGGGGAUAACUAUUGGAAACGAUAGCUAAUACCGCAUAAGAGUAGAUGUUGCAUGACAUUUGCUUAAAAGGUGCAAUUGCAUCACUACCAGAUGGACCUGCGUUGUAUUAGCUAGAUGGUGAGGUAACGGCUCACCAAGGCAACGAUACAUAGCCGACCUGAGAGGGUGGUCGGCCAAACUGGGAAUGGGACAAGGCCCAGGCUCCUACGGGAGGGAGCAGUAGGGAAUCAUCGGAAAUGGACGGAAGGCUGAACGAGCAAAGCCGCGUGAGGGAAGGAGGGUUUCGGAUCGUAAAGCUCUGUUGUAAGAGAAGAAAGAGUGUGAGAGUGGAAAGUUCACACUGUGACGGUAUCUUACCAGAAAGGGACGGCUAACUACGUG
rnacentral:rRNA from 1 species